rnacentral:rRNA from 1 species
UAAGACUGUACUAGAUGACGACCGGCGCACGGGUGCGUAACGCGUAUGCAACCUACCCAUUACUGGAGGAUAGCCCGGGGAAACUCGGAUUAAUACUCCAUAGUAUUUGAGAGUGGCAUCACUUUCUUCUUAAAGAUUUAUUGGUAAUGGAUGGGCAUGCGUGUCAUUAGCUAGAUGGUGAGGUAACGGCUCACCAUGGCUACGAUGACUAGGGGGCCUGAGAGGGUGAUCCCCCACACUGGUACUGAGAUACGGACCAGACUCCUACGGGAGGCAGCAGUAGGGAAUAUUGGUCAAUGGACGAGAGUCUGAACCAGCCAUGCCGCGUGCAGGAAGACGGCCUUCUGGGUUGUAAACUGCUUUUGACAGGGAAGAAAACGGCUAUGCGUAGCUAACUGACGGUACCUGUAGAAUAAGCACCGGCUAACUCCGUGCCAGCAGCCGCGGUAAUACGGAGGGUGCAAGCGUUGUCCGGAUUUAUUGGGUUUAAAGGGUGCGUAGGUGGCUUUUUAAGUCAGUGGUGAAAUCCUGCAGCUUAACUGUAGAACUGCCAUUGAUACUGGAAGGCUUGAGUAUUGUUGAGGCAGGCGGAAUUUAUGGUGUAGCGGUGAAAUGCAUAGAUACCAUAAAGAACACCGAUAGCGAAGGCAGCUUGCUUAGCAGUAACUGACACUAAUGCACGAAAGCGUGGGUAGCGGACAGGAUUAGAUACCCUGGUAGUCCACGCCGUAAACGAUGCUCACUCGAUGUAUGCGAUAUACAGUAUGCGUCCAAGCGAAAGCGUUAAGUGAGCCACCUGGGGAGUACGCUCGCAAGAGUGAAACUCAAAGGAAUUGA